GAGGGUAUAGCUCUGAUGGUAGAGGACAUGCUUAGCAUGCAGGAGGUCCUGGGUUCAAUCCCCAGAACCUUCU
rnacentral:tRNA from 1 species